rnacentral:lncRNA from 1 species
UGAUAUUUGCAUUAUAACUGCACGUGUAAAUAUAGAUUGCUCAAAACAUUUCCCCUCGAUGGUUUUAAUAAGGUCAUAUUCCUGAUCGUACAUACAUGUUCUGGUACUCUAGGAAAUACAGUAUGUGAUCAAAGCUUAUUCUGAGCGUAUAUGCAAAUAAAUAACAACGUAGAUGUGUUGUGCACCUAUGAGUACAACUAUACAUGCCAGCAAGGACCAUAUAUCCUACUCCCUCCGUCCCAUAAUGUAAGACGUUUUUUGACACCACUAGUGUGAAAAAACGUCUUACAUUAUGGGACGGAGGGAGUACUACUCUACAACUUGAGCCGCCUAUACAUACAUAUUACAUCUGUGGUCUUGUCUGGACUACGUAGAUCUUCCCAUCCUUC